UACGAAGGGGGCUAGCGUUGUUCGGAAUUACUGGGCGUAAAGCGCACGUAGGCGGAUAUUUAAGUCAGGGGUGAAAUCCCGGAGCUCAACUCCGGAACUGCCUUUGAUACUGGAUAUCUAGAGACCGAGAGAGGUAAGUGGAACUCCUAGUGUAGAGGUGGAAUUCGUAGAUAUUAGGAAGAACACCAGUGGCGAAGGCGGCUUACUGGCUCGGAACUGACGCUGAGGUGCGAAAGCGUGGGGAG
rnacentral:rRNA from 1 species